rnacentral:rRNA from 1 species
UACGGAGGGUGCGAGCGUUAAUCGGAAUUACUGGGCGUAAAGCGCGCGUAGGCGGUUUGAUAAGCUGGAUGUGAAAUCCCCGGGCUCAACCUGGGAAUUGCAUCCAGAACUGUCUGACUAGAGUACAGUAGAGGUGAGUGGAAUUUCCUGUGUGGCGGUGAAAAUGCGUAGAUAUAGGAAGGAACAUCAGUGGGCAAAAGGCGACUCACUGGACUGAUACUGACGCUGAGGUGCGAAAAGCGUGGGGAGCAAACAGGAUUAGAUACCCGUGUAGUCC